rnacentral:rRNA from 1 species
AGUGAACGCUGGCGGUAGGCCUAACACAUGCAAGUCGAACGGCAGCACAGUAAGAGCUUGCUCUUACGGGUGGCGAGUGGAGGACGGGUGAGGAAUACAUCGGAAUCUACUUUUUCGUGGGGGAUAACGUAGGGAAACUUACGCUAAUACCGCAUACGACCUACGGGUGAAAGCAGGGGAUCUUCGGACCUUGCGCGAAUGAAUGAGCCGAUGUCGGAUUAGCUAGUUGGCGGGGUAAAGGCCCACCAAGGCGACGAUCCGUAGCUGGUCUGAGAGGAUGAUCAGCCACACUGGAACUGAGACCCGGUCCAGACUCCUACGGGAGGCAGCAGUGGGGAAUAUUGGACAAUGGGCGCAAGCCUGAUCCAGCCAUACCGCGUGGGUGAAGAAGGCCUUCGGGUUGUAAAGCCCUUUUGUUGGGAAAGAAAAGCAGCAGGUUAAUACCCCGCUGUUCUGACGGUACCCAAAGAAUAAGCACCGGCUAACUUCGUG